rnacentral:sRNA from 1 species
CAGUGUAAUCCUCGGGCUCAACAGCCAAACAAAACAAGGGACCACGAAAAAUGCUGCACUUGAUUCGCAUGCAUGAAAAUCAGAUCAUCAUCAUCCAAUAAUCGCCCAACGUUUCGGUUUAUGAAACAUGUUUUCCACCAAAACUCCUAGGACCCUUCAGCGUUAGGGAAAUUAAGCCGCCUGUGGAGAAUAAGGGGAAAACCAAAUUCAUUUGUCCUGCCAAUCCUUACCAGCAGCUAAUAAUACCUAAUAUUGGGAGUAUCCAGGAAGCCUUGGCUAACAACCAUAGGUCUAGACUUCGAAAACAUGGGAUAUAUGUUUCUCAGUCAAAUGGUAAUGGUCACUCAAUAUUCAGUAAACGGGUGGUCUGGGGACGAGUUUUGUCGUAAGACUUUUAUUUUGCAUGCUUAAAUCGAAGAUUCCAAGCAUGUGGGUGUAGACGCGUCA